rnacentral:rRNA from 1 species
CCUACGGGAGGCAGCAGUGAGGAAUAUUGGUCAAUGGGCUUACGCCUGAACCAGCCAAGUCGCGUGAGGGAAGACUGCCCUAUGGGUUGUAAACCUCUUUUGUCAGGGAGCAACGCCGGCUACGUGUAGCCGGACUGAGAGUACCUGAAGAAAAAGCAUCGGCUAACUCCGUGCCAGCAGCCGCGGUAAUACGGAGGAUGCGAGCGUUAUCCGGAUUUAUUGGGUUUAAAGGGUGCGUAGGCGGAAUGCCAAGUCAGCGGUAAAAUCGCGGGGCUCAACCUCGCUCCGCCGUUGAAACUGGCGGUCUUGAGUGGGCGAGAAGUAUGUGGAAUGCGUGGUGUAGCGGUGAAAUGCAUAGAUAUCACGCAGAACUCCGAUUGCGAAGGCAGCAUACCGGCGCCCAACUGACGCUGAAGCACGAAAGCGUGGGUAUCGAACAGGAUUAGAUACCCCAGUAGUC